rnacentral:lncRNA from 1 species
CCUAGAGAAAGACAUUUUAAUUUUAAAGUAAUGCUGUAAUAGAUAUCAGAGGCCUAGAAUCCAGAAAGAAAUCUGUUUCUUCAAGUUGAAGGAUCAUCUGCUGGUGGCAGGGAUGACCAAGAUUCUGGAGGAUUGAAAUCGUCAGAAUCUUUUGCCAGAUGUUCUAUCAUUAACUCAAGAGCAGAGGACAAAGACUUCUCCUGCUCCUGUUGCCUCAGCUGUCCCUGGGGUCUGCCUCAGCUCUACCUCCCCUCAGCUCUAUCUCUGAAGUAUAGCCACCAAGAAGGACUGUACUGAAUGCAGUGGGUUCAUUUCUUGGUAAGUGCAAAGCCAAUAUAUACAACUAGGAGAUAAAAAGUUAAAGAGAGAUUUAUUACUUGUAGCAAGUAAAGAGCAGACUGGAGAUAAUUCUCAAAGCAGCAUCUCCUCAGACAAAGAAAGCAAGGGGCUUUUACUGAGGAAACUCACACACAUUCAUGUAGGAAAGAUCAUCAUCAUAUCAAAAAGCUAGCACAUUCCUGUAUGAAUAGGCACGUUCCUGAGUAUGCUCAGUUCAGGAUUAUGCUUCACAUGUUCACAAACAGGAAUUCCUAGUAGGUAAAGAAUUUAGUAUUUUAAUGAGCAAAAUUUACUCUAGAUCACCUAAAAAGAGUGAGUCAGAGAGACCUGUAGAUUUUGGCUGGUUCUUUAUAAGUUUCUCUGGAAGGCUGUAUUUAAAACAAAUAAAACACAACUUCAAAGAGAUGUUAACAGUCAUUUAAAGAGGCGCAGAUUUUUACCCUAAAAGCAUAGGUAAUUUUUCCUAAAGACAUCUGCCUGGCUAACAGGACCAGAAUCCUGUGUCAGACACCUCAGCCUCAGAUUGUUCCUACAUGUUGGGUUGAGUGGUCAGAGCUCUUGGGAGCACAUUGUCUCCAUGCCAAUCCACAGUUCCCACCUCUCAGCAGUGUUGAUGUCUAUGAACAGAGCUGGGUGAUUGGCAGAGCACUGCUUUGGUUAGGAAAAACAGAUUACACAUGAUUCAGUGGCUCCUUACUUGGAGCACAGCCUCUGCAGUAAGCAAGGUGCUCCCAGGUCCAGUCUACUUACUUGAAGGAAGCUAUGGAAGCGAAGGCAUUGCCACUACCCUAUGUUUUCUAAAGUAAAUACUCUGCAUAAAGAGGAGUGAGAGCCCUAGAAUCAAGAAGUUUGUCAACUUUUGUCAAGUUGAGGGGAAUGUUAUCUCAUUCAAAAUAAUAAUAUUUUGUAACAUUGCUAUAAUCAUUGAAUGUAUUA